rnacentral:rRNA from 1 species
CUCUUCUUGAAUAUAUUUUGAUGUAUGGCCUGCCCACUGAAUAUUGAAGGGCCGCGGUAUUUUGACCGUGCAAAGGUAGCAUAAUCAUUAGUCUUUUAAUUGUAGGCUGGAAUGAAUGGUUUGACGAGGUGUUAACUGUCUUUAAUUUUUUUUAUUGAAUUUAAAUUUUAGGUUAAAAUGCCUAAAUGGUUUUUUGGGACGAGAAGACCCUAUAGAGUUUUAUAUAUUUUUAUUUUUUUGUAUGAAAAGUUUUAAUGUAAAAAUUUAUUUUGUUGGGGUGAUAGGAAGAUUAAAUUAACUCUUUUUUAUUUUUUAUAUUUAUUUAUAUAUAUUUGAUCCAUUUUUAUUGAUUAUAAGACUAAAUUACC